AAAACACAAGAAAAAUACAAAGAACGAAAUAAAAUCAUUGAGAGAUCACCACUGUUGAGGCUUUCACGCAUACUUGGUGUCUUAACACAUGUUUAGAUGCCUGACUAUGCGUGUCACGCCAACAUAUGCACGCACCGACCCUUGUGUGCACGCUCAGGCAUGUCCAGUUCUGUGACCCCACAGACUACAGCCCGCUAGGCUCCUCUGUCCGUGGGAUUUUCCAGGCAAGAAGACAGGUGGGUUACCAUUUCCUGCUGAGGGGAUCUUCCCAAUCCAGGGCUCAAACCUGCGUCUCCUGCAUUGGCAGGGGGAUUCUGUACCACUGAGCCACCCAGGAAACCCCAUAUGAACAUGUACAUUUCGCAAAAAAAGUGUUUGGGCUAUCCACUUGAUUCUGCAACAUGCUUUUUCUACUUUGCAAUAAUGUUAGCACUUUUCAAGUUUCCUAAAAACUCCUCUGAAGUAUUAUCCUAAAGGCUUCAUGGUAUUUCCGAAGUGGAAAUGAGAACCGAUCUGGCUGGUACCAGACCAUGGGCAGCUACAACUGGGCACCCGUUCACUGCAGGCUUCACGUCAGGCACAGACGCCCGGACACGCAUGAGCUGCGGUGCCCAUUUGGCCAAAACGGAGCAUUUGUGGUGGGAUAGCACCAUCACGGCUCCCCGCUUCCCCCACGCUUUUCACUUAUCAGACCGAACAUUACAACCAACGAAAGGGCUCCGAGAGCACGCGGUGUCUCUCAGAUGCGCUCUGCCUCACGCCCUGCGGUGGAGCCCGCGUUCCACCUGCUCCGCACACAUGCGCGCCGCGGGCGCUCCUGUUCGCAGGCGUCUUUUCUCUUGGCGCUGGGGCCUGCCGUUCCCCGUCUCUGGCCCCACGUCCGGUGCUGCGUCCGCAUCUCUCGCCGCUCGAGUCUCUCCCUGGCAAGUCUGUUGUUUCCUCAGCAUAGGAUUUGUCAUGUUCCUGGACCUAAUUCAUCCUGAGGUUUAAUAGGCUGUGUUGCUAUUUUAAAUGGAUCCUCUGCCCUCACCAUUCCUGGCUAACUGGUUCUGUCCAGCGUCUGGAAAGGCUGUUGGGUCUGUACCGUCAUUUUAUCGCCCAUCCUUGCCACUUCAUUUUUGUUUUGCUAAUUGUGAGCCCAUUCCUUUGGGUGUUUGGGAAAGUUUUUUGACUUGAAGCUCUGAUUCUGGAAUCAGCCAGACCUGUGUUUACAUUCCUAACACACCCUUUGCUGGAUUCAGGCCUUUUGCCCCCGAGCUUUAUCAAGAUCAACAACAACGUGUAAGUUCAAGGUGUACAGCUCGGCGAUUCAAGGCAUGCAUCUACCGUGAAAUGAUCACCACGAAGGUCAGCUCUGUGAGGUCUGCGCCGCCUCACAGAGUGAGCACAGUGUUCCAGAUGUGCUAAGAACAUUUACCAUCUGCUCUCAGCAGACUCCACAUAUUCAGCACAGUGUUGUUAACUGCGGGUGCUGCUGUGGGCUGCCCAUCAGACCCUGGGAACUUAUCCGUCUUAAAACGGAAAGCUUGUAUCCUGUGACCAACAUCUCCUGAAAGCCCAGCCCCUGUGGGGAAGCCGCUCCACUCUCCGUUGCUGCGAGCUGGAUGCUUGAGAACUGCACAAACAGGUGGGACUUCCAGGCCGCUGAGCACAGUGGACGCAGAGAGGCUUCCGCCAGGGCCCUGACGGCACCAGGAAGUGUGCUUCACCCGGAGACCCCGCUCUGUCCCUGCUUCAGCUCCCGUCAGCAGCCCCUCCAAGUCCACAGUCGUCUCCUGCCCUGGACUUGAAGCCUGAGCUGCUUUAGUGCGCACGGGCCGCAGUCUGGGAGCCUGACCUGGGCUCGGUGCCCUGUGGAUCGGAUGUUCAGCAGUAAGCCCCUCAGUGUGAGCUCGCUCAGCACAAGCCCACAGUGGUCUCCAGGACCAGCUGGGCUCAGGGUCUGGGACCCCUGUCUGGGUCCACCCUGCGCGUUACCCCUCUCUGCCUGGGGGUCUCCACCUCUCCCCGCCUCCCUCCACCCACCCACCCCAGCGGAAGGAUUUGCCCUGGGCAGUUAGCCCGAUGAUGCGGUAAGACUUUCCUCCCCACCCCCUUCUCCUUGCUUAUCUCUAAGUCUAAAGACAUGUUGAAAUGUGUUGGGCAAAAACAUCUGGGCAGCUUCCAGGCAGAGGCGGGCUUAUCUUCGCGGAGAGGAUUUAUGAGCUCAGACGGGUAGCCGAGAGAGGAGAAUGAGCCUGGCAAGCAGCACAUGUUCAAGAGACUUUCCCACCGAAGUGAAAGGCAAAAACACGCUAAGGGUGUUGCCUUUUAUUUCCGUGAUCAGAUAGUGUUGCUAAGUCACAUCAAUGCCUUCUCAGGGUAGGGGAAGAAACAAACAUUCCUUUUCUGAUCUACUUCCUUUUUGCUUCCUCAGUGUUGCUUUUCUGAAGGCGCAGGUGUUGGAGUUUCGGUGAAGCCGUUUAUCAAGUUUCUCUCAUGGCCCGUGCAUUUAGGGUCCAAAGCGAUCUUUGUGAAAAUCCAAACUACGCGUUUUCCUCCUGGAAAUCCUGCAUAGUUUUCAUUUAACAUUUGGGGCUAAGAUCCAUUUUGAGUUAGUUUUUGCGUGCAGUGUGGUAAGGGUCAAUGCUGAUUUUUUUUUCUCCACGUGAAUAUCCAGCUGUCGUAGCAACAGUUGCUGAAAGGCAUUCCUGUUUUCAAUGAGUUGGAAUGACUUGGCCAUAUACAUGUGGGUGUAUUUAUAGUAAGACAUAAAGACAGUUGAUUUUUUUAUGUUGGGCUUGACUCAUGCCACCCUGCCCAAUUCAUGAUGUUUCUCCUGGUGCUUGUCUUAGCAUGCAUGAAUAGGAGCCGAUUUUUGUCAGAUGGUUUUCUGUGUGUGUCCCCUACCGAUAGGACCAUGUAGUUUUUCUUCCUCGGUCCGUUAAUACGGUGAACUGCACUGGACAAUUUAAAAACACUGAAGCAGCCUCGCGUCCCGAGGGUGAACUUCGGUGAUUCCUGGCGUAAUGUGCCCCGCGUGUUGCUGGGCUCUGCUAAUGCUUGUGAAGGGUUUCUGCACCGUGUCUUCUUAGCUUCCCUUCAGCUGAGAUGGUCUGACUUCCCCUCAGCCUGAAGCCGUUCUGGCGGACACAGGCCUCGAGGCCGACCCUUCCUUUAGCGUCUGAAAACGCCAGGCUCUGUCCUUUAGGCUUUCUUCCUUUCUCAUGAGACAAUGUUGUAAUGUGAGUGGUUUUCUGAAUUUGUUGAUUUAAAUGUGUAAAACAUCAUUUCAUUUUGUCCUCAGCUUUCGGAAGUUUGACUUUGCUGGGUUUUUUUGGUGUGGAUUUCCCCUUUUUGGAAUUCUUUUUUCCAGCUUAAUUCUGUGGGUUUAAGGCCUUUUGCAGAAUCUCAGCUGUCCCUGUCCUUAUUUGUGUUUUCUUUAGCAUUUCCAGCUCUGUCUUCACGCCCGUCUCCUCCAGGACCCUGCGAGGUGAAGCCGUGGCCCUGCAGUCCCUAGCGUUCUGAGAGGUUUGGUUUUCGGUCUGAUUUCUCUCUGUUGCUCAGACUUGGUGGUUCUUAUCGGCUCAGCUUUCCGGUCACUGAUUCUUCCCUCUGUCUCCUCCAUUUUUCUGAGCCAGUCCAUUUGGGUUUUUCUUAUUUCAGUCCCUCCUUCCAGGAGAGCCAUCUGCCCAGCUAGUCUGGAUGCCAGUUGGGAGCUGUCUCUCUGGGCCCCAGGGAGCAGGUCUCAGGACCCAGGGAGCAUGGUCAGACGCCGGGAGGACGGGUUGAGUCCGGCCCAGCCUCCCGCGCCAGGAUCAGGCGGGCGUGCAGGGGGCUGGGUCGUCACGGGGCCACAGCUACCCGCCCAGCACACUGCCCCUGCUUCCCUGGACACAGACAGGCUGCCAGCCAGCCCCGGGGUGGCGGUCGGUCCCCUGAUGUCUGCUCAGGUUCACAAGGCAGUCUCUCUAUGUGGCUUCAUUUCUCAGACUCAGGCUGUUCCUGGGACGACCAGGACACACACAGUGGCGGAGGCGACAGGCACCCGACGACCCGCGUGUGUCCCCUCAGGGCGCGUGCACAGACGGGGAAACGCCCACGAUGGCCUCACCUGAGCUUGUGUCCUGACGAGGGCUGGGCGCAGGAACCGCGGGGCCAGCCUGCCUCCGGCCCAGGCCUCAGUGCUGCGCUCUGUGCCCCCAGCCAGCGGAGGCGGCGAGAAGCCUCAGGCCCUGCUCUGCCCGGCAGGGACGUGGCCACGGGCGGCGGGUGGGUGAGACAGCAGGUCAGCCUUCCUCUCCCGCCAGCCUGGGACUCCUGGCGCACAGAGGGCCAAAGGCGUCCCCUCCGGACCCACGACGUAAGCACAGCAUGUUUUCUUAAUCCCUCUCACUGUGUCUGUACCUGGUUCCACGUGAUGUGCUCAGUGGAAGGAGAACUCGUGCUUGGCUCGAGCAGACGCUGAAGUUGGAAAGAAUGCUGUCCUGCGGUGGGUGAAGGAGCCGGAGGGAAGGCUGGAGGAGACAGGGGCGGCAGGGGCGGCUGCCCACGUGACCCUCGCAAGUGGGCUGGCCUUCGGUCCUGGCGCCCGGCAGUGCCAGCGGCGUCUGGAACGCCUGCGCGUGUGCUGGGCAGUGACUUCCUGGCUGAUUAGAAGUCAGGUCCGUAUUGUGGCUGCAUCUCGGGAGCCGUCUGCCUGAGCCCUCCCGUGAUCAGAGGCCCCGCUCCCGUGAAAGCGCAGCUCAGAGCGGGUCCUGUGUCCUAACCACACUCUCAGUCCUUCCCGGUUCAGAGUGCCACAAAGCUGGCCGCGCAGAGCGACAGCUGCAAGUCCCCACCAGUCUGUCCUUCUCAGACUGUCCAGACGGAUGUUGACAUUUUGGCCCGUGACUGGCUUGCAGAAAACUACAAGAGGAUUUUAGAAGAAGCGUGUUCUUGGCAAGCAAAUUAGAGAAUCCUGCUGUGUUUCUGUGACUUUCCUCUGCAACUGUGGUUCCAAAUCAUAGACAGCGGUUUCCUAGGAGGUAAAAUCCCAGGAGACGGAAGGCUGUGGGGGCCGUCGGUGGGUAGAUGUGGGUGGGGGGCCACCGUCCGGGAGGUUCGGGCGUGUGCUGAGGUUCGUUCCACCUGGAGCUCCGACGCAGGUACUGGAGGGGUGGCGAUGCCGCACGGCCAGCUCUCUCAACACCCUCCUGGCGGUGCAGAGACAGCGCUUGUGAAACCAGGACACUGCGCAGCAGAGCUCACAGCUGCAUCGGUCAUGCUCGGGAUGUCUCUGGAGGGCAGAGCCAGGCAGGCGGCAGGAUUGUGUCCCCAGGGGAGGACUUCAGGACAGGCAUGCCUGAGUCCGCCUGAGCCUGGCGAACCGCGCAGAUGGAGGUUCCGAAUCCGGGCUUUGCUUCCUCCUCUGGACGCAGUCACCGAAAAGCGUCUCAACCGUGACUCCGCGCAUGGCUGCUCGAUCGUGUCUGACUCUUGCGACCCCACGGACUGCAGCCCGCCAGGCUCCUCCGUCCAUGGGAUUCUCCAGGUGGGAAUGCUGGAGUGGGCUGCCAUUUCCUUCUCCGGGGGAUCUUCCCGACCCAGGGAUCCGUCUCCUGUGUCUGCUGCGUCGCAGGAGGACUCUUGGCCCGCUGAGCCCCGGGGGAGCCUCACUCACUGAGUGAGCACGAUGGCCUGAGGGCUGUGCUGUUCCUGAGACAGGGAUCGAGAGGCCGCCGCGCUCUGACUUGAGGGCAGGGGACACGACCGCUCCAUCUGUUGCCUCUAGCGGCAUGGUGGCCAAGGCUGACCCUGGUUCCGUCUCUCCGCCCCGCUGCCCCAGGAACCAGAUGGCCACGUGGACCUCACCCUGCAGUGAUGCCCCAGCACGUGGGGUGAAAGAGGAGGAGAAGGAAAGGGAGCCAGUAAGAUGCGAGACUGGAGGGGCAGCAGGGGCUGGUGGGCAUCGUCCCGCCACCUGGGGGACAAGUACGUGUGGGCGUCACCCGUGGGUGGUCCCGAGGAGGUUCUCCCCGAGCAAGCAGCUCAGGCCAGCGCAGCAGCUGCCGGCCUUCUCUGCGGAAGCCGCCGUGGCCGUGACUGGGAGUGUGACCACCGGCAUGGCCCUGGGGCCCAGCAGGGCGGGGAGAGGGCCCAGUCGACACAGCUCGGAUUCAGGCAGGAAACGGGCUCUGAACACAGGAGGGUCCCGAAAUCACAGCGGUGAGAACCUUCCACCCAGAGUGUCCUGAGGACAGAAGCUCUGCAGAAGCCCAUCCUAGGAAAGCGUGUGGAAGGAAGUUCUUGGCCCCAGGCUGGAGCAGACUGGCUUUUGCCCAGACCUGGAGGCCCAGCUGCCCAGGGCCUCAGCGCGGCGCUCAGAGGCGUGUGCGGUCCGGCCCACUGCCUGUCAUGCGGUUCAGGUUGGGCUGCCUUGUCACUAACCCUCACACGGACCUUCGAGGGCCACCCUGAGCUCGCUCCUUCUCCUCCUAGAGGGUCAUCUCUGAGCCCUGAGAGACGGUGGCCCCCAAGCCCCCGGGUCAGCACCCACUCUGGCCGUGGCUUGGAGGACGCGCCCGGACCUCCUGAGCUCUGCAGGGUCCUUGUCAGCUCACCUUUCCUGACCAAGGAGGGUGGAGUAUGCACCCUGGCCUCCUGAGCUCUGCAAGGUCGUCGUGGCCCAGCAGAGCAGCGUGUGGAAUGUGUUUAUUUAGUUCCUGGCUCACAGCAAGUGCUUGAUAAGUUUCAGAGAUCGUCCCAAAUAUUUCUAGCGCUGCUGAAGCCGAGUGUUUGAAACUGCAUCCGGUCCAUCUUAGAGCCUCUGCAGCAAUCCCGGCUCCGCCUUGGCUUAAACUUGGGCCUGGGAGCUGACCCCUAUAGGUCAGAGAAGCCCUUUCCACCUGUCCUGGGGAGGCCUGGGGUCCCUGGCCGAGCUGCGAGCAGCCCUCAGUGGUGGGUGGGCAACCAGACGGAAACCGCACAGCUGGUAAGCGCCUGUGUCCAGGCCUUGACUGAGGCUGACCCUGCCCCUGUUGCAGAAGACUCCUGAGAGUCCCUGGGGCAGCAAGGAGAUCCAACCAGGCCAUCCUAAAGGAAACCAGUCCUGAGUAUUCAUUGGAAGGACUGAUGCUGAGGCUGAAACUCCAGUAGUCUGGCCUCCUGAUGCGAACGGCUGACUCACUGGAAAAGACUCUGAUGCUGGGAGGGAUUAGGGGCAGGAGGAGAAGGGGACGGCAGAGGAUGAGAUGGCUGGAUGGCAUCACCGACUCAGUGGACAUGAGUUUGGGUGGACUCCAGGAGUUGGUGAUGGACAGGGAGGCCUGGCAUGCUGCGGUUCAUGGGGUCGCAGAGUCCUACGCGACCGAGCGACUGAGCUGACUGACCCUCCGCCCAACGGCGGCCGAGCCGGUGCCCUCCCGCCUGGAAGUGGUGUCACCGCGUUCACCCUGCACCCCCUCUGGCCCCAGGUGAGCAGACUGGAGGCCUGCACUUUUGCUAACUGUGGGGCAGCCCUGUCUCCACAGGGUCCCCGUCCCCUGCUUCUCCUUCGCUCCCGACCCUACUCCAAAGGGCGGAGCUGUGCAGCCGCAGCUCAGUAAAGGCUUUAUCUGAUUAAACUUUAAAGUGCGGACAUGAGAGAUUUUCUCCUUUAGUUUUUACUGCUUUAAAGGAAAAAUACCCCAAAUGCAAUGUGAGUCUCCCCUCAACUCUCUCAGCCACCUCCUCCAGGAAGCCUCAUGGAGGAGCCUGGCCCUGCCUCCUCUGCAGCCCGGCUGGGACUGCCUGCUCCGCACUCGCUUGUCUGUUAAGGUCCCCGUGUGGCCGCUUUUGUGUGACCACCACCUCUCGGGGCCAGUGGUCAGCCAGCCUGCUAAUAGAGUUCACCAAGAGAGGAUCAGCCUGGACUGGCAAAUUCACUCGACGUUUUGUCACUGUCUUUAUUGAGUGAGUGUGGAAUCCCACCCACUGAUACGCACUGACCGACCGCUCGAUGGUAGCAGGUGCUGGGUUUCUCCCUCCUGCAAGGGAGGUGGGGGUGAUGCAGGCACGGGAUCCGAGGGAGACGGAGGAAGGAGCAGGGGCCUCUGCCCGCAGGCAGCACUCUGCGCACCCGGCUGUGCACCCAGCUGUCCACCCCGUCCACUCUGUCCACCCAGCUGUCCACUCUGUCCACCCAGCUGUCCACUCUGUCCACCCAGCUGUCCACCUCAUCCACCCUUGCCCCUUCCAUCCACCCAGCUGUCCACCACCGACCACCCCCCUGUCCACCUGGCUGUCCACUCUGUCCACUCACCUGUCCGCUCCUGUCUGCCCCUUGUCAACUCUGUCUACUCACCUGUCCACCUCGUUCACCCGCCUGUCCCUCCCCUGUUUUGGGGUGUGACUCUGCUGCAGAGAGGCCAGGGCAGGGAGGCCUUGUGGUUAGAAUUGGCCCUACC
ensembl:lncRNA